UCCUACCGACAUGGAAGAACAGCACAGGUCAUGGUCAUACCUGAGGAGGCCGGAACGGGUUCGAAGUCCAUGUGGUUUCUAAACGCGCAACUUGAACCGAGGCACAUUUUUCAAGUGAGCUUUCACGCUGUCAGAUAAAUAGGACUUAAGGACUUCUCGUUUCUUCUUCAAUGACUUUGGGGACACCAGGUGCUCCAACAGGCUGACAUUUGACUUGGACAGAAGUCCACACAGGAACAGCAAAAAAGCUGCAAAAAAAGACUGAAGGGUGACAUGAAGAAACUCAAAGGUUGACAGGUUCCCACUGCCAUCGUAGUGACUGGCAGGCCUCA